CUGCAAAUGGCGGCGUGCUAUACAUGCAAGUCGAGCGGACAGAAGGGAGCUUGCUCCCGGAUGUUAGCGGCGGACGGGUGAGUAACACGUGGGUAACCUGCCUGUAAGACUGGGAUAACUCCGGGAAACCGGAGCUAAUACCGGAUAGUUCCUUGAACCGCAUGGUUCAAGGAUGAAAGACGGUUUCGGCUGUCACUUACAGAUGGACCCGCGGCGCAUUAGCUAGUUGGUGGGGUAAUGGCUCACCAAGGCGACGAUGCGUAGCCGACCUGAGAGGGUGAUCGGCCACACUGGGACUGAGACACGGCCCAGACUCCUACGGGAGGCAGCAGUAGGGAAUCUUCCGCAAUGGACGAAAGUCUGACGGAGCAACGCCGCGUGAGUGAUGAAGGUUUUCGGAUCGUAAAGCUCUGUUGUUAGGGAAGAACAAGUGCGAGAGUAACUGCUCGCACCUUGACGGUACCUAACCAGAAAGCCACGGCUAACUACGUGCCAGCAGCCGCGGUAAUACGUAGGUGGCAAGCGUUGUCCGGAAUUAUUGGGCGUAAAGGGCUCGCAGGCGGUUUCUUAAGUCUGAUGUGAAAGCCCCCGGCUCAACCGGGGAGGGUCAUUGGAAACUGGGAAACUUGAGUGCAGAAGAGGAGAGUGGAAUUCCACGUGUAGCGGUGAAAUGCGUAGAGAUGUGGAGGAACACCAGUGGCGAAGGCGACUCUCUGGUCUGUAACUGACGCUGAGGAGCGAAAGCGUGGGGAGCGAACAGGAUUAGAUACCCUGGUAGUCCACGCCGUAAACGAUGAGUGCUAAGUGUUAGGGGGUUUCCGCCCCUUAGUGCUGCAGCUAACGCAUUAAGCACUCCGCCUGGGGAGUACGGUCGCAAGA
rnacentral:rRNA from 1 species